rnacentral:rRNA from 1 species
CACUGCGUGAGCGGAACGAAAACAAAAACACCUAAAAUGUGGAAUAUAGCAUAUAGUCGACAAGAGAAAUCUACGAAAAACAAACAAAACUUUCAACAACGGAUCUCUUGGUUCUCGCAUCGAUGAAGAGCGCAGCGAAAUGCGAUACCUAGUGUGAAUUGCAGCCAUCGUGAAUCAUCGAGUUCUUGAACGCACAUUGCGCCCCUCGGCAUUCCGGGGGGSAUGCCUGUUUGAGCGUCGUUUCCAUCUUGCGCGUGCGCAGAGUUGGGGGAGCGGAGCGGACGACGUGUAAAGAGCGUCGGAGCUGCGACUCGCCUGAAAGGGAGCGAAGCUGGCCGAGCGAACUAGACUUUUUUUCAGGGACGCUUGGCGGCCGAGAGCGAGUGUUGCGAGACAACAAAAAGCUCGACCUCAAAUCAGGUAGGAAUACCCGCUGAACUUAAGCAUAUCAAUAAGGCG